CCCCUAAGGCGAGGCCGAAAGGCGUAGUCGAUGGGAAACAGGUUAAUAUUCCUGUACUUGGUGUUACUGCGAAGGGGGGACGGAGAAGGCUAUGUUGGCCGGGCGACGGUUGUCCCGGUUUAAGCGUGUAGGCUGGUUUUCCAGGCAAAUCCGGAAAAUCAAGGCUGAGGCGUGAUGACGAGGCACUACGGUGCUGAAGCAACAAAUGCCCUGCUUCCAGGAAAAGCCUCUAAGCAUCAGGUAACAUCAAAUCGUACCCCAAACCGACACAGGUGGUCAGGUAGAGAAUACCAAGGCGCUUGAGAGAACUCGGGUGAAGGAACUAGGCAAAAUGGUGCCGUAACUUCGGGAGAAGGCACGCUGAUACGUAGGUGAAGUCCCUCGCGGAUGGAGCUGAAAUCAGUCGAAGAUACCAGCUGGCUGCAACUGUUUAUUAAAAACACAGCACUGUGCAAACACGAAAGUGGACGUAUACGGUGUGACGCCUGCCCGGUGCCGGAAGGUUAAUUGAUGGGGUUAGCGGUAACGCGAAGCUCUUGAUCGAAGCCCCGGUAAACGGCGGCCGUAACUAUAACGGUCCUAAGGUAGCGAAAUUCCUUGUCGGGUAAGUUCCGACCUGCACGAAUGGCGUAAUGAUGGCCAGGCUGUCUCCACCCGAGACUCAGUGAAAUUGAACUCGCUGUGAAGAUGCAGUGUACCCGCGGCAAGACGGAAAGACCCCGUGAACCUUUACUAUAGCUUGACACUGAACAUUGAGCCUUGAUGUGUAGGAUAGGUGGGAGGCUUUGAAGUGUGGACGCCAGUCUGCAUGGAGCCGACCUUGAAAUACCACCCUUUAAUGUUUGAUGUUCUAACGUUGGCCCCUAAUCGGGGUUGCGGACAGUGUCUGGUGGGUAGUUUGACUGGGGCGGUCUCCUCCUAAAGAGUAACGGAGGAGCACGAAGGUUGGCUAAUCCUGGUCGGACAUCAGGAGGUUAGUGCAAUGGCAUAAGCCAGCUUGACUGCGAGCGUGACGGCGCGAGCAGGUGCGAAAGCAGGUCAUAGUGAUCCGGUGGUUCUGAAUGGAAGGGCCAUCGCUCAACGGAUAAAAGGUACUCCGGGGAUAACAGGCUGAUACCGCCCAAGAGUUCAUAUCGACGGCGGUGUUUGGCACCUCGAUGUCGGCUCAUCACAUCCUGGGGCUGAAGUAGGUCCCAAGGGUAUGGCUGUUCGCCAUUUAAAGUGGUACGCGAGCUGGGUUUAGAACGUCGUGAGACAGUUCGGUCCCUAUCUGCCGUGGGCGCUGGAGAACUGAGGGGGGCUGCUCCUAGUACGAGAGGACCGGAGUGGACGCAUCACUGGUGUUCGGGUUGUCAUGCCAAUGGCACUGCCCGGUAGCUAAAUGCGGAAGAGAUAAGUGCUGAAAGCAUCUAAGCACGAAACUUGCCCCGAGAUGAGUUCUCCCUGACUCCUUGAGAGUCCUGAAGGAACGUUGAAGACGACGACGUUGAUAGGCCGGGUGUGUAAGCGCAGCGAUGCGUUGAGCUAACCGGUACUAAUGAACCGUGAGGCUUAACCU
rnacentral:rRNA from 1 species